GGGCCCUUAGCUCAGCGGUUAGAGCUGCGGACUCAUAAUCCGUAGGCCGCAGGUUCGAAUCCUGCAGGGCCCACCA
rnacentral:tRNA from 2 species